rnacentral:piRNA from 1 species
UGUGCUGCAUGAAGAAGCUGCCUGUGGCUC